UACAUGUGGGGCAAGCGUUGUCCGGAAUUAUUGGGCGUAAAGAGCUCGUAGGCGGUCUGUCGCGUCGGCUGUGAAAACCCGGGGCUCAACCCCGGGCCUGCAGUCGAUACGGGCAGACUAGAGUGUGGUAGGGGAGACUGGAAUUCCUGGUGUAGCGGUGAAAUGCGCAGAUAUCAGGAGGAACACCGGUGGCGAAGGCGGGUCUCUGGGCCAUAACUGACGCUGAGGAGCGAAAGCGUGGGGAGCGAACAGG
rnacentral:rRNA from 1 species